CCUGUUGCACAAAAGUAGAAUUAAGACAUCCGGGAUAAAUGACUAAGCUGAGCUCAAUGAAGCCAAAACAUGUGCGUCCAGGCUUAAUUGGUUGCACAAAGACCAAGCCAGGAUGAGCAGACACGGAUUCAUUAAGCCAGGUGAAACCAAUCCUGGAUAGGUGCGCGCUCACGGCUCACUCAAAUAGACCCCGCCACAGAUCACAGAUUAACUGAUUUACCAUGGCAACUAGAGCCGCGUACUUUUCCCCGUCGGAAGCACAAAUCCUCAUGGAGGCAUACGAGGAGGUAAAAUAUAUAAUUAAGAAGAAAGGCAACACCGCCACAGUGAUAAAGCAAAGAGAAAAAGCGUGGCAAAGUAUUGCAGACCGCCUGAAUGCAUGGUCUGCAAUGCUGACUGUGUGAUCAGCAAUGUUGUGGCAAAAUGGCCUGGCUCAGUCCAUGACUCCAGAAUCUUUCGGGCCUCUGAAAUCUAUCAGUGCCUAUCACAAGGUGAAUUCUCUGGUGUGUUGCUGGGAGACAGGGGGUAUGGCUGCCAGCCUUUCUCCUGACACCUUUCACAGACCCCCAGGAAGCACAGCAGGCCUACAACCAUGCCCAUGCCAGGACCAGGGCCAGAGUUGAAAUGACCUUUGGCCUCCUGAAGGCACGCUUUCACUGCCUUCACAAAUUAAGGGUCAGCCCUGUUAGGGCAUGUGAUAUUACUGUGGCUUGUGCUGUCCUCCACAAUGUGGCCUGCCUGAGGAAGGAGAGGGCCCCCAGAGUGCCACCAGCCAUGGACUGGGACAAUCCGGCAAUCUUCCCUGAUGACGACAGUGGUCGGCUGCUGAGGGACCAAUAUGUGUUGAAUUAUUUUAGUUAGUAUGUGUGCUUUCAAUUUGGGUUAAAUAUGUCCUGCGGUGGCAGAGGAAUUUGGGUUUUUUUUGGGUUCGUUUUUUUACGAAUUUGGCCUCUUAUGAUGUUUGUGCGGUAUACUGUGUGUAAUACAAGGCUGCAGGGAGGCUACUGCAUCCAUUCAUUUGUCUGUUCAGUUGAUGUGUAUGGAUUUGUCCUGCAUUUAUUUUAGUGUGCAGAUAUGCAGGGUGUGUUAUAUACAGACCUUUGAAUGUGUAUGUAUCAUUUUGUAUAAUAUGCUUGGAUUCUGUGCUUUCCAUCUUGUAGAGUCACUGUGACUUCAGUUUCGAAAGGAGCUGAUGGUUUACCUGCUUUGUUUUGUCCUUAUUCAAUAAAGGAACAUAAUGUUA